GACGAACGCUGGCGGCGUGCCUAAUACAUGCAAGUCGAACGCAGUGGGGACGGGUGGGUAACACGUGGGUAACCUCCCAUCAGAGGGGAUAACACUUGGAAACAGGUGCUAAACCGAUACUGAUGGAUGGACACGCGGUGCAUUAGCUAGUUGGUGAGGGAUCGGCUCACCAAGGCCACGAUGCAUAGUCGACCUGAGAGGGUGAUCAGCCCGACGGGGACUGAGACACGGCCCAGAUGCCUACGGGAGGCAGCAGUAGUGAAUCUUGGGCAAUGGACGAAAGUCUGACCGAGCAACGCCGCGUGAGUGAAGAAGGUUUUCGGAUUGUAAAACUCUGUUGUUAGAGAAGCGGUAUCUAACCAGAAAGCCACGGCUAACUCCGUGCCAGCAGCCGCGGUAAUAC
rnacentral:rRNA from 1 species